GAUGAACGCUAGCUACAGGCUUAACACAUGCAAGUCGAGGGGCAGCGCAGUGUAGCAAUACACGGGCGGCGACCGGCGCACGGGUGCGUAACGCGUAUCCAACUUUCCCGUUACUCAGGGAUAGCCUUCCGAAAGGGAGAUUAAUACCUGAUGGUGUUCAAAUUCCGCAUGUUAUUUGAACUAAAGAUUCAUCGGUAACGGAUGGGGAUGCGUGACAUUAGAUAGUAGGCGGGGUAACGGCCCACCUAGUCUACGAUGUCUAGGGGUUCUGAGAGGAAGGUCCCCCACACUGGAACUGAGACACGGUCCAGACUCCUACGGGAGGCAGCAGUGAGGAAUAUUGGUCAAUGGUCGGAAGACUGAACCAGCCAAGUAGCGUGAAGGAUGAAGGUUCUAUGGAUUGUAAACUUCUUUUAUACGGGAAUAAAACCUCCCACGUGUGGGAGCUUGUAUGUACCGUAUGAAUAAGCAUCGGCUAACUCCGUGCCAGCAGCCGCAGUAACAC
rnacentral:rRNA from 1 species